rnacentral:misc_RNA from 1 species
GGUAAGAUUACUGAGCAGUGAUAUCGGGGAUUGGGUCGCUUUGUAGAUUUCUCGGGAAAUUGAAGGGUAGAAUGGUAAAUUGAUUGAUAUCUUCGGUCUUCUUCUAGGCAGUAAUAAACUCAACCGAUGAGACACGGAGUGGAAGAAAUAGAUAUGUCUAAAUACUAUUACGUGUGUUUCAAGGGAAAAAGCCAAAGUAGUAAACCCCACACUUCUUGCUCUGCUUAUCCCCUUCUCCUCUUCUCUCACUCAUCUAUUUCUGUUGGGUUUUCUAUUUUCAAGGGCUUUUGUUUUUGUUCUGUUUUCCUUCUUUUGUUUCCUUGUAAAUUUGUUUUUGCUAAGGAGUGAUUGAGUGGGUGGUGGUUUGUGAGAUAGUUGUUUGUUUGUUUUUUGUUUUGUUGACUGAUUGUUUCGUGGAAGAGCAAAAUUAGGGAAAUGCGGAAAUCGUUUAAGGAUUCUCUUAAGGCUCUUGAAGCUGAUAUCCAGUCUGCCAAUACUCUGUAAUUUCCUCUCUUUUCGUCUCUCUUCACACCCGGCCCCCCCUCUCUCUUUUCGUUUAAAAAAAAUUCUGUUUACUAUUGCUUUUUAUAUUGAAUAUCUGUUUCUGGGUUUUAAUCAAUAUCAAAUUUUCAAUGAUGAUCUUUGAGAUUUUGAGUUGUAAUUUUGAUCUUCUUGCUUCGGUGAAGUAUCAUGUUAUUGUGCAUUGUUUUGUGACUUUUCACGCUUGCUGUUGCACAAAGUAAAUCACAUAGCACUGAUUUUGAUAUUUUCGAAUACCAGAUAUGAUUGGAAGUAUCUGGUGUGCUAGAAGUUUUUAUUUCUUGCAUGGGCAUUAAUGUUACUUCAGUUCUAGGCGGCUUUAUUGAAUGGUUCAGUGAAUAAAAAAACUUCAAUUUUUUUUUUCUGAAAUUUUCAAUAUCUAGUAUUCACGCUUUGAAGUUAAUUCUCUGAUAAUUUUUGUAGCAAGGAUUUGGGUUUGCUUUGGUUAUGUAUGAUCCAUCAAAUAUUUGUAUCUUAUUCCCCCCCCAAAAAAAGCACAUAUAGAAAGCUGUUAGAUUUUGCUAGAAAGCACUGAAUUUAAGGUGAUUGAGCUGAAAAUCGGAGGAUGAUCAGACAAUAAAAGGACCAACCAUGUGGUUUGUCUCUUGGCAGUCCUGCGAAAGAACGGCUUCCGAUUAUCGUAGGGAAUAUAAUGGUGCCUGCCUCCAGAUGAGAUUAUCCUACAGUCCUGCUGCUCAGUUUUUUCUCUUUCUUGUUCAGUGGACUGAUUGUCACCUUGCCGGUGCCUUGGGGCUGCUUAGAAUUCUCAUUUACAAGGCCUAUGAGGAUGGAAAGACAACCAUGUCUAUUCAUGAAAGAAAAGCUAGUAUAAGAGAGUUCUAUGGUGUUAUAUUUCCCUCUUUAUUGCAACUUCAUAGAGGAAUCAAUGAUGUAGAAGAGAGGAAACAGAAAGAGGUUUGUGCCAAUUACCAGAAGGAAGAAAAGAUGGACCGAGGAAAGCUCUCUGAAAUUGAUCUGGAGAGAGAAGAAGAAUGUGGAAUUUGCAUGGAGAUGAACACCAAGGUUGUGUUGCCCAAAUGUGGUCAUUCAAUGUGUAUGAAGUGCUAUCGAAAUUGGUAAGCUAACCAGUACAUAAUAUUUUGUGUUGUUGUGGUAUGCAACGCAUGAAUCCUUGCUUUUGAGAUGAUAUUGGAACUGGUAAGUACUCAAAUGUGUAGGAAAGGAAAAAGUACAUGAGAGGAAACUCAAUUCAUGGCCUUUUAUUUCCAAAUUUUCACAACCAGGGAAUUCUAAUUUCUACAUGAUCGUAGUGGUCCCCCUUCAGCACUGCAAUGAAAAUGAAACAGUGGCAACUAAAUUCCCUCAAUCAACCUAUUUUCAAUUGAUAGGCACAUCGGACUAGGGUUUUUCUCAUUUUGAAGCCAUAGACACUUGAUGACAAGUGGGAGAUUGCGCAGCCUUUCUUGCUAGACAUAGAAACUGUAUUUUUCACUCCAUUAUGCUGCAGAGAAUACAUUUAUAGGGAUCAAUUUUGAAUGUGGGAAUUUGAUUUAUUUAGAAGUUUAUCAUAUUACCACUUGACUUUUUAGGUUGUUGGUGUUCUUUCUACUCCUACGAAUGUUCAGAAAUAACAUCAUCUGUUCAUGUCAUUUCAAAGUUGGUUCCUUCCAAAACAACCCUCUGCUUGAGUCAUCUUACAGAAGCAUCCUUCACAAAGAUGGCAUGUCUGGUUUAAGUUACGGAAAAAUUCAUUAGCAAGCAAGGAGGUGCACUGGAAAAUUCAAGAUUUGGUAAUAUAAGCAAAUAUGGGGCAGAAGUAAGUUGUUGAAGUGCAAGAAAGAGAUUUGAGAGUUGGAACUA